UGGGGAAUAUUGGACAAUGGGCGCAAGCCUGAUCCAGCCAUGCCGCGUGAGUGAUGAAGGCCCUAGGGUUGUAAAGCUCUUUCAACGGUGAAGAUAAUGACGGUAGCCGGAGAAGAAGCCCCGGCUAACUCCGUGCCAGCAGCCGCGGUAAUACGGAGGGGGCUAGCGUUGUUCGGAAUUACUGGGCGUAAAGCGCACGUAGGCGGACCAGAAAGUUGGGGGUGAAAUCCCGGGGCUCAACCCCGGAACUGCCUCCAAAACUAUUGGUCUAGAGUUCGAGAGAGGUGAGUGGAAUUCCAAGUGUAGAGGUGAAAUUCGUAGAUAUUUGGAGGAACACCAGUGGCGAAGGCGGCUCACUGGCUCGAUACUGACGCUGAGGUGCGAAAGUGUGGGGAGCAAACAGGAUUAGAUACCCUGGUAGUCCACACCGUAAAACGAUGAAUGCCAGUCGUCGGGUAGCAUGCUAUUCGGUGACACACCUAACGGAUUAAGCAUUCCGCCUGGGGAGUACGGUCGCAAGAUUAAAA
rnacentral:rRNA from 1 species